UACCAGCACCCCGAGCGGUCGGGACGUUUAUUGGGCCUAAAGCAUCCGUAGCCGGUUCUACAAGUCUUCCGUUAAAUCCACCUGCUUAACAGAUGGGCUGCGGAAGAUACUAUAGAGCUAGGAGGCGGGAGAGGCAAGCGGUACUCGAUGGGUAGGGGUAAAAUCCGUUGAUCCAUUGAAGACCACCGGUGGCGAAGGCGGCUUGCCAGAACGCGCUCGACGGUGAGGGAUGAAAGCUGGGGGAGCAAACCGG
rnacentral:rRNA from 1 species